CCUAAAAUCUCUUAUUUAGCACUCUGCUGCUUAUAACACUUUGCUGUAGCCUCCUUAAGCAAGCUCCCUCCCCUCUGCCAUAUCUUCCAAUAUACCCCCUACCUUCCAAAAAGUGGUUGCUUUUCUAUUUGGAGAAUAGCAGCAAUUAUUUUCUCAUAUCUUCAGUUGGUUUUGCAGGUGUUCAGAAUGGUUUGAUAACUACCUACCUUAAUUUCAGGACCAGAUGAAAUUAGGGUCACCUACCCCUCCGCCAUCUUAACUCCUUCCUCCUCUGCAGACACACAUGAGGAAAAAAGAGGUUAAACAAUUGUUGGAAACCUCAAGAGAAUCAGACAGCAAGCCAACAGUUUCUGAAAAUUUGCAAUUCUGAAGAAACAAAACAAAAGAGGACCAUAUGAUGACUUAAUAAGCAAGCUGUAAUGGAUUAAGAGUCGUGGACUAUUUUCUCUUUACCACCAGAGAAAAAGCUAAACCAGAAGAGUCUAGAAACUGGGUUGCCCUGCUUUUUGCUCGGAUCUUUAGAUUCCGUCCCCAACUACUGAAUUUCAGUUAACUGUACUGUUUCUCUGCUUAUUAUUAACUAGUCACAAUCUGUAUUUUGUAUUUUUGUUAUUAUCUAUUCACUAUAUUCAAUUUCAAAAUGAUGUGCCCACACAACAAUUUUGUUAUAAAACAUGUUUAAAGCAAAA